rnacentral:rRNA from 1 species
GAUGAACGCUGGCGGCGUGCCUAAUACAUGCAAGUCGAGCGAACAGACGAGGAGCUUGCUCCUCUGACGUUAGCGGCGGACGGGUGAGUAACACGUGGAUAACCUACCUAUAAGACUGGGAUAACUUCGGGAAACCGGAGCUAAUACCGGAUAAUAUAUUGAACCGCAUGGUUCAAUAGUGAAAGACGGUUUUGCUGUCACUUAUAGAUGGAUCCGCGCCGCAUUAGCUAGUUGGUAAGGUAACGGCUUACCAAGGCGACGAUGCGUAGCCGACCUGAGAGGGUGAUCGGCCACACUGGAACUGAGACACGGUCCAGACUCCUACGGGAGGCAGCAGUAGGGAAUCUUCCGCGAUGGGCGGAAGCCUGACGGAGCAACGCCGCGUGAGUGAUGAAGGUCUUCGGAUCGUAAAACUCUGUUAUUAGGGAAGAACAAAUGUGUAAGUAACUAUGCACGUCUUGACGGUACCUAAUCAGAAAGCCACGGCUAACUACGUG